AAAGGUGUGUUGUGCAAAAGGCCAAUGGGCCUGGUUUCUAUGGCCCAUGAGAGGAACAAAAAGAGGGAAAAGGAAAAGAAACUCCCUCAUUCGCUUCAUCACUCUCAUACUCACCCUCCAUCCUCUCUCCCUCGAUGCUCUCACCAAAAAUAGCUUCCAUUGCGCUGGAAAUCACCUCCGACGAUGGAGGAACCCAGAAUCACAUCUAACCACUACCAUCAACUUCGUCUCCUCGCCCUCUCUCCAUCCCCAAACUUCAUUUCUUCAACAAUCCAUCAUAACCCUCAUUUUUUCCAAAACACAUAAAACCCUAAAAAUUCUUCAAAUAAAAAUUAAAUGUCAUUGAUCAAUGGAAUCAGAGUGCAACCUUAGGGGUUUUGCUCAGCAAAGCUCAUGCUAUAACAUGGUAUCAAGGAUGAAGCAACAAGAAUGGAAAAUUAGAGGGGCACGAAGACCUACCUACAAAGCUGAGCUUCGCUCCGGUGAGUGGUGUAAAGCUUGAAGAUAAUGAUCAAGAAACCUAGAGAUGAGGCUCCAAUUAUAAGAAUAGGAUAAAAUGAGUGUAACAAUUAAGAGGUUACAGAUUAAUUGAAGAUGAUGUGUGUCUCAGCUCAAUUGAUUUAGAGUAUUUAUUAAUCUGUAAUGAGAAGCUUUUGACUCGUUGAAUUGAAACGUUGUAUAUCAAAUAAAUCUUCCAUGUAAACUUUAUAUCUUCACAUACAACUCAUCCACUAAAUUUCUAUGCAUGAGUGUAUUUUUUAAAUUAAAUUGUUGUAGUUACCAAUUGAAGUGAUCAACAAGAGAUAAUAAUAUUCGAAUA